rnacentral:rRNA from 1 species
GUCUGUUUGAAGAUAUAAAGAGUCUAGCCUGCCCACUGAUUUAUAAGUUAAAGGGCCGCAGUAUUAUGACUGUGCAAAGGUAGCAUAAUUAUUAGAUUUUUAAUUGGAAUCUUGUAUGAAUGGUUGGACAAAAGAAUAACUGUCUUUAAAUUAAUUUUGAAUUUAACUUUUAAGUGAAAAGGCUUAAAUAUUCUAAAAGGACGAUAAGACCCUAUAAAACUUUACAUUAUAAUUAUAUUUUUUUGAAUUUAAUAUAAAAAUUUAAUUUAAUUAUUUGUUAUAUUGGGGAGAUAUAAGUCAAAUGAGUUUUAACUGCUUAAAAUUAAAACAAUUAUAUAUGAAUAAAAGAUCCUUUAUAAAGAUUAAAAAAUUAAGUUACUUUAGGGAUAACAGCGUUAUUUCUUUAGAGAGUUCUUAUCGAGAAAGAAGAUUGCGACCUCGAUGUUGAAUUAAAAUAUCUAUAUAAUGUAGUGGUUAUAUUAGAAGGUCUGUUCGACCUUUAAAAUUUUACAUGAUUUGAGUUCAAACCGGUGUGAG